GCACAAUCCCAGAUAACUGCUCCUUUCUCCCCCCCUCCUCUUCCCACUCAGGACAAACUGCAGAGCAACCUCACUGCCCUCAGGAACAAAGUCACCCAGCUGGAAGACAGAGACUUGGAGCGGGAGGCCAAGGAACAAGGGUUACAAGAGAAAAUUGACAAGCUCCGAGAUGAACUCUCCAGCCAGUCCCAGCAGCUGCAGGAUUCCCAGCAAAGGUUCCAGGAGGAAAGAGAUCAACUCCAGGAGACCAUCCGCUGGCUGAAUGUGGAGCUCCGCAACCAGAAAAAUCAGCGCUCCAAUGGGGGCAGCCUCCUUGGCCAGAGGGUCUCUCUCUACCUCGUGCUGCUGGUUCUGUCCUUCACUGGGAUCCUUCUCCUGUGAGCAGAGCAGCUUCAUCUUGUGAUCAAGGCAUUUGGAUACAGACUUGCCCAGAGACCCCACCAGUUGUCUGACUUUCCCAGCAAGGGGGAGGGACUUGCCCUGUCACCUCCACCAAAGACAGCUCCAGCCUUCCACCAGCUGCCUCUUAUCUCCUUUUCACAGAUGGGAAACUGAGGCACGAGAUUAGCGAGUCACCCCAAGAGCACGUGGUAGAGUCGGGACUAGAACUCAGCAGCCACAUGUAACCCUAAGGCCACCCUUCCCCUCCGCGCCUGGGCCCCAUCUCGCCUUUCUCUCCCCCUCUGCUGUUCUGUCGGGGUGUGUGUUCCAGGGCUGACCAGUCCCCGGGGAGUAAGGAGAAUCCCUAUAGGGACACAGCAGACUGCAAGGGGGCAGCUCUGAACCAUGAUUUUGCGACGACCUUGGGUUGGGCCCGGAGACGGGUUCCUGCCCAACCGGUCCCUAGAGGAGGGAUCCUACUGGCUGCUGCCCAGCACUGAGAGAUGAUGGGGAAACGGCGAGGAAGAGCCAGCGUCUGGGCGUUUCUUGGGUUCAGACGACCCCAGACCAUUGUCCUGAGUGGGGUCGCGCCCUUCCAGGCCUGUUAGCUGCCUGCUGCUUUUCUUCUAAUAACGUCUUGCCAACCCCAAAGGCUUGCGGUGUCGUUGAUCCUCCUGCGUCCGGCGGGAUCAGAG